rnacentral:rRNA from 1 species
UACGGGGGGGGCAAGCGUUGUUCGGAAUUACUGGGCGUAAAGGGCUCGUAGGUGGCCAACUAAGUCAGACGUGAAAUCCUUCAGCUUAACUGGGGAACUGCGUCUGAUACUGGAUGGCUUGAGUUUGGGAGAGGGAUGCGGAAUUCCAGGUGUAGCGGUGAAAUGCGUAGAUAUCUGGAGGAACACCGGUGGCGAAGGCGGCAUCCUGGACCAACACUGACACUGAUGAGCGAAAGCCAGGGGAGCAAACGGG